ACUAGUUGCCCAAGACUAGGGAAAACCUGCCAGAGGGGCCCCAAAGCAAACCCCGGCUUUCAGAAGGUCUGCGGGGAGCAGACCUCUCUGGGCGUCCCUGGGUGGGCUUGUUUCAGGACAUCUGAACUUUGAUCUCAGCCCUGAGAGCAGAGAAGCACUGGAGAUCCUGGAAGAGAAGCCAGGUGUGCUGACUUCUGUGGCCUCCUCUGGGGAGUGGCUCAAAAGAUGCUCAUGAAAGGCGCAUACUCAGAGGGCCACUGUCCAAGCAAGCAGCUGGAACUACUUAGGGAAGCUCUGAGGACUGAGAAGGCAGAAAGUUCCAGGGAAUCUGCUGUUUAUGCUGAGCAUGGUGCUGCACACCUGUGACCCCUGUACCCAAGAAACUGCCAGGAAGAUUACCUGGUCUAAAACCUAAAUAAACAAAAAAUC